rnacentral:lncRNA from 1 species
CAGUAAACCACAUACCGAUGAAAAGGCAGCAUUUUCUAGCUAACAAAACAGUUUGCGGUGCCAAGGGACAGGGAAGUCUUUUUUUCCAGCAAGGUUUACACAGUCCAAGCAGUCGGGGGAAGGACUGUAAUUCCAGGAAACUCAGCUACAAGAAUUUGACAUUUUAACAGGAACCAGCUAGCAUUGCAACCUUGAGAGGCGACAGCCUGCUACAGAGAAGAGGAAGAAGAACCAAGACAGAUCCAAAGAAAGGAUGCUGCCACCACGCUGACUUCUGGUUAGACCACAUCAUACUCACGAAUAUUCUGAGUCCAUUGCAGAGUCUUGCACACAAGAAAAGCAACAUGUGAAUGAAUGAAAAACGAAGCUAUGACUUUUUGGACGCUUCAGAGCUAAACGAAGCCCUGGAAGGAACCACCGUUCAUCUUAACUAUGUACCCAGUGCAGAGACCAGCAGGCUGGGCGAUCAAUGUGGUUUCGCAGCAAAUUGGCAGAGUUCAGCAGUUAUUUGCUGGAACAUCAAAAACCCAGGUGUCCUUGGACAGAGAAGAAUGGAGGCAGGAUACAGAAUAGAAAGCCAAGGAAUGUUCAAGAAGUCACGUGGGAAAAGCAAUAUGAAAGCCAAAGUUGGAGAAAUUUUACCCUGGACAACGUUGAGAAGAUUCUUGGAGGGGCACUCAGAAGGCGUGACAAGACGAAGGCUCCCUCCAAGAGCUCUCGUAGAGCGCUCACCAAGACGUGAGGAGACACCACUUGCCCAGGCUGCAAGCGCGAGGGCUCUCACGGCCGCGGAAGUCCCCCAGGAUCUCCGAGCUCCACCCACCAUUUCGGUGCAGGGGCACUCGCGACCGCAGGGCUUGGCCGGAGCAGUUUCCGGGCACAUCCCUCCAGUGGCUCUUCUACACCGCCGUCGGAGAGAGGACCCAGCGGGCAAGACCCCUGCCUGUCCCGCGCGCGCUCAAACUCUUGACUUCCGCUCUGCAUCCCUGGUCCCUGCCCUGUCCCUCGCCCUUGGGAGCAUCCACUUAUCCUUCGGGGACCUCACGUGCCUGAGCACAGGGGUCCUCGAGGACUAGCCGGGGUGACCGGGCGUGGGAGGGCGGUCGGAGCUGGGAACGCGCAGCAGUGUCCGGGGUGAGAGAGCCUCCCGACCCCUGGGCCAGGGGAGGGACACGGAGAGAAAGUCCGUAGGAAGGAGAUGGACACAGAAUUGGGAGACUCUGGGGGUGGGGGGUGGGGAUUUACCCCUUGUGGUAAGAG